AGUGAACGCUGGCGGUAGGCCUAACACAUGCAAGUCGAACGGCAGCACAGUAAGAGCUUGCUCUUACGGGUGGCGAGUGGCGGACGGGUGAGGAAUACAUCGGAAUCUACUUUUUCGUGGGGGAUAACGUAGGGAAACUUACGCUAAUACCGCAUACGACCUACGGGUGAAAGCAGGGGAUCUUCGGACCUUGCGCGAUUGAAUGAGCCGAUGUCGGAUUAGCUAGUUGGCGGGGUAGAGGCCCACCAAGGCGAGGAUCCGUAGCUGGUCUGAGAGGAUGAUCAGCCACACUGGAACUGAGACACGGUCCAGACUCCUACGGGAGGCAGCAGUGGGGAAUAUUGGACAAAGGGCGCAAGCCUGAUCCAGCCAUACCGCGUGGGUGAAGAAGGCCUUCGGGUUGUAAAGCCCUUUUGUUGGGAAAGAAAAGCAGCAGGUUAAUACCCCGCUGUUCUGACGGUACCCAAAGAAUAAGCACCGGCUAACUUCGUG
rnacentral:rRNA from 1 species